UGGAUAUUUUGUGGAUGAGAAAACUUGGGC
rnacentral:piRNA from 1 species